CCGGACCCUUGAAGAAUGUCAAGCAGGGCCUGUGACUCAAGAGAAAAUGUUCAAAAUGAGGAGUAUCUUCUUAUCAUUCUGUAAGAGUUUGGGAAAGAGUUAACAGGUUUACUACAGAUUCUGAAAGGAAAUAAAAAUGGAAUCUGAGAGCUCUUCAGUAUACCGAGGUAGUCUAUGGUUGCCAUAGAGAAUGCCUGUAACUGUCAACCUUGCACAAAGCUCCUAGGGCGUUAGCUGUAUAAUCAGACUGAAAAACAGAAAAACAACACGAUAUUUGAUUGGACCAGAUACAAGAAAACACACAAAGGAAUCAUUGAGGUUUACUGGUUUUUUUUUUUUUGGAAAUUGUCUUAUUUUAAUUUCUACCCUUUCUCAAAUACG
rnacentral:lncRNA from 1 species